AUGGUCGGCGUACCCAACAACGUCUUCCCCGGCCCGGCCACCAGCGCGCCCGUGGCUGCCGCGUGGGUCGGCGCCAACAUCAAGGGCCACCCGGCUGUCUCAUUCCGGUACCUCGUCGUCGGGAACGAGGUCGCCGGCAGCGACACACGCUACCUGGUCCCAGCCAUGGAGAACGUCCGUAGCGCGCUUGCUGUGGCCGGCCUGAACGGCGCCAUCAAAGUCACGACGGCGAUAUCGCAGGCCACCAUUGCCGUACACGUCCCACCGUCCGCCGGCGAGUUCACCAACGCGUCCAAGCCGUUCCUGCUCCCCGUGCUGCACUUCCUGAAGCGCAUCCCAUCACCUUCGGCUAGUGAAUUUGAUUGA
rnacentral:rRNA from 1 species